GGGUUGUGAGGUUAAGCGACUAAGCGUACACGGUGGAUGCCCUGGCAGUCAGAGGCGAUGAAGGGCGUGCUAAUCUGCGAUAAGCGCCGGUAAGGUGAUAUGAACCGUUAUAACCGGCGAUACCCGAAUGGGGAAACCCAGUGUGAUUCGUCACACUAUCAUUAACUGAAUCCAUAGGUUAAUGAGGCGAACCGGGGGAACUGAAACAUCUAAGUACCCCGAGGAAAAGAAAUCAACCGAGAUUCCCCCAGUAGCGGCGAGCGAACGGGGAGGAGCCCAGAGCCUGAAUCAGCAUGUGUGUUAGUGGAAGCGUCUGGAAAGGCGCGCGAUACAGGGUGACAGCCCCGUACACAAAAGCGCAUGUGCUGUGAGCUCGAUGAGUAGGGCGGGACACGUGGUAUCCUGUCUGAAUAUGGGGGGACCAUCCUCCAAGGCUAAAUACUCCUGACUGACCGAUAGUGAACCAGUACCGUGAGGGAAAGGCGAAAAGAACCCCGGCGAGGGGAGUGAAAAAGAACCUGAAACCGUGUACGUACAAGCAGUGGGAGCACAGGUUUACCUGUGUGACUGCGUACCUUUUGUAUAAUGGGUCAGCGACUUAUAUUCUGUAGCAAGGUUAACCGAAUAGGGGAGCCGGAGGGAAACCGAGUCUUAAUUGGGCGUUAAGUUGCAGGGUAUAGACCCGAAACCCGGUGAUCUAGCCAUGGGCAGGUUGAAGGUUGGGUAACACUAACUGGAGGACCGAACCGACUAAUGUUGAAAAAUUAGCGGAUGACCUGUGGCUGGGGGUGAAAGGCCAAUCAAACCGGGAGAUAGCUGGUUCUCCCCGAAAGCUAUUUAGGUAGCGCCUCGUGAAUUCAUCUCCGGGGGUAGAGCACUGUUUCGGCUAGGGGGCCAUCCCGGCUUACCAACCCGAUGCAAACUGCGAAUACCGGAGAAUGUUAUCACGGGAGACACACGGCGGGUGCUAACGUCCGUCGUGAAGAGGGAAACAACCCAGACCGCCAGCUAAGGUCCCAAAGUCAUGGUUAAGUGGGAAACGAUGUGGGAAGGCCCAGACAGCCAGGAUGUUGGCUUAGAAGCAGCCAUCAUUUAAAGAAAGCGUAAUAGCUCACUGGUCGAGUCGGCCUGCGCGGAAGAUGUAACGGGGCUAAACCAUGCACCGAAGCUGCGGCAGCGACGCUUAUGCGUUGUUGGGUAGGGGAGCGUUCUGUAAGCCUGUGAAGGUGUGUCGUGAGGCAUGCUGGAGGUAUCAGAAGUGCGAAUGCUGACAUAAGUAACGAUAAAGCGGGUGAAAAGCCCGCUCGCCGGAAGACCAAGGGUUCCUGUCCAACGUUAAUCGGGGCAGGGUGAGUCGACCCCUAAGGCGAGGCCGAAAGGCGUAGUCGAUGGGAAACGGGUUAAUAUUCCCGUACUUGGUGUUACUGCGAAGGGGGGACGGAGAAGGCUAUGUUGGCCGGGCGACGGUUGUCCCGGUUUAAGCGUGUAGGUGUGUGUUCCAGGUAAAUCCGGUUCACUUUAACACUGAGGCGUGACGACGAGGCACUACGGUGCUGAAGCAACAAAUGCCCUGCUUCCAGGAAAAGCCUCUAAGCAUCAGGUAACAUCAAAUCGUACCCCAAACCGACACAGGUGGUCAGGUAGAGAAUACCAAGGCGCUUGAGAGAACUCGGGUGAAGGAACUAGGCAAAAUGGUGCCGUAACUUCGGGAGAAGGCACGCUGACACGUAGGUGAAGUGAUUUACUCAUGGAGCUGAAGUCAGUCGAAGAUACCAGCUGGCUGCAACUGUUUAUUAAAAACACAGCACUGUGCAAACACGAAAGUGGACGUAUACGGUGUGACGCCUGCCCGGUGCCGGAAGGUUAAUUGAUGGGGUCAGCGCAAGCGAAGCUCCUGAUCGAAGCCCCGGUAAACGGCGGCCGUAACUAUAACGGUCCUAAGGUAGCGAAAUUCCUUGUCGGGUAAGUUCCGACCUGCACGAAUGGCGUAAUGAUGGCCAGGCUGUCUCCACCCGAGACUCAGUGAAAUUGAACUCGCUGUGAAGAUGCAGUGUACCCGCGGCAAGACGGAAAGACCCCGUGAACCUUUACUAUAGCUUGACACUGAACAUUGAGCCUUGAUGUGUAGGAUAGGUGGGAGGCUUUGAAGUGUGGACGCCAGUCUGCAUGGAGCCGACCUUGAAAUACCACCCUUUAAUGUUUGAUGUUCUAACGUGGACCCGUGAUCCGGGUUGCGGACAGUGUCUGGUGGGUAGUUUGACUGGGGCGGUCUCCUCCUAAAGAGUAACGGAGGA
rnacentral:rRNA from 1 species